rnacentral:rRNA from 1 species
CCUACGGGAGGCAGCAGUGGGGAAUAUUGCGCAAUGGGCGAAAGCCUGACGCAGCGCCGCCGCUUGCGUUCUGCCUGUCUUCUUCUCCUCCCCCUCUUUCCGCCGUGCCGCCCGGUCCCUGUGCUAAUCAGCAGUGAAUUGACGGUACCUGCACAGGAAGCACCGGCUAACUCCGUGCCAGCCGCCGCGGUCCUCCGGAGGGUGCGAGCGUUACUCGGCCUUACUGGGCGUCCCGCGCUCGUAGGCGGUCUGUCAAGUCACGGGUGAAAUCCCCGCGCUCAACGUGGGAACUGCCUUUGCAACUGGCAAGCUGGAGUGUGUGAGAGGAGAGUAGAAUUCCAGGUGUAGGAGUGAAAUCCGUAGAGAUCUGGAGGAACAUCAGUGGCGAAGGCGACUAUCUGGCACAUGACUGACGCUGAGGAGCGAAAGCGUGGGUAGCAAACAGGAUUAGAUACCCCAGUAGUC